CACGUAGGGCGCAAGCGUUGUCCGGAAUUAUUGGGCGUAAAGAGCUCGUAGGCGGUCUGUUGCGUCCGCUGUGAAAACUCGGGGCUUAACCCCGAGCCUGCAGUGGAUACGGGCAGACUAGAGGUAGGUAGGGGAGAAUGGAAUUCCCGGUGUAGCGGUGAAAUGCGCAGAUAUCGGGAGGAACACCGGUGGCGAAGGCGGUUCUCUGGGCCUUACCUGACGCUGAGGAGCGAAAGCGU
rnacentral:rRNA from 1 species